GACGAACACUGGCGGCGUGCUUAACACAUGCAAGUCGAACGGAAAGGCCCUGCUUUUGUGGGGUGCUCGAGUGGCGAACGGGUGAGUAACACGUGAGUAACCUGCCCUUGACUUUGGGAUAACUUCAGGAAACUGGGGCUAAUACCGGAUAGGAGCUCCUGCUGCAUGGUGGGGGUUGGAAAGUUUCGGCGGUUGGGGAUGGACUCGCGGCUUAUCAGCUUGUUGGUGGGGUAGUGGCUUACCAAGGCUUUGACGGGUAGCCGGCCUGAGAGGGUGACCGGCCACAUUGGGACUGAGAUACGGCCCAGACUCCUACGGGAGGCAGCAGUGGGGAAUAUUGCACAAUGAGCGGAAGCCUGAUGCAGCAACGCCGCGUGCGGGAUGACGGCCUUCGGGUUGUAAACCGCUUUCGCCUGUGACGAAGCGUGAGUGACGGUAAUGGGUAAAGAAGCACCGGCUAACUACGUG
rnacentral:rRNA from 1 species